rnacentral:rRNA from 1 species
GCUAACUAUCCAGCCCCACUUUUCCUCAUUAACUACCUUAAUCUUAUAUCUUAAAUUAAAACAUUUUACCAAUCUAGUAAAGGCGAUUAAAAAAUUUGUUGGAGCCAUAACUACAGUACCGCAAGGGAAAGAUGAAAUAAAAAUGAAAAAAUUUUUAAGCACGAAAAAGCAGAGCUUAAUUCUCGUACCUUUUGCAUCAUGGUUUAACUAGUCUAACCAAGCAAAAAGACUUUUUAGUUUGACUUCCCGAACCUAGGCGAGCUAUUUUAAGACAGCUUUAUGAGCGAAUCCGUCUCUGUUGCAAAAGAGUGGAAAGAUCCUAAAAUAGGGGUGACAGACCUAACGAGCCUAGUGAUAGCUGGUUGCUCAUGAAAAGGAUUUUAGUCCCGCUUAAAGACAUACUUAUAUUAAUAAAUUUAUCUUUAAAGUAAUUCAAAUAAGGUACAGCCUAUUUGAAAAAGGAUACAACCUCAACUCUUGGGUUACUUUCUAUGAACUAAUGAAAAAGUGGGCCUAAAAGCAGCCAUCUCUAUUAAAAGCGUCAUAGCUUACUCACCAAUUCACAUAAUUCCUUUAUUCUUCCAUAACCCUUUAUCUUUAAAGAGCAACUCUAUAUCUUUAUAGAAAAUUUUAUGUUAAAACUAGUAAUAAGAAGAAAACCUUCUCUUUAAUGUUAGUGUACAUCAGAAAGGAUACCCCACUGAUUCCUAACGUCCUUAAUCCCACAGUAUUAACUCACCAAGAAAAACUUACUUUUAUUUACGUUAACCUAACACAAGUACAUUUUAAGAAAGAUUAAAAGAAAAAGAAGGAACUCGGCAAAUAUUAGCCUCGCCUGUUUACCAAAAACAUCGCCUCCUGAUCCUAUAUAGGAGGUCCAGCCUGCCCAGUGACAUUAUUUAACGGCCGCGGUAUCCUAACCGUGCGAAGGUAGCGUAAUCACUUGUUCUUUAAAUGAGGACUAGUAUGAAUGGCUUCACGAGGGCUAUACUGUCUCCUUUUUCUAAUCAAUGAAACUAAUCUUCUCGUGAAGAAGCGAGAAUAAAUCUAUAAGACGAGAAGACCCUAUGGAGCUUUAAACGAAAAGAUACCUACUUUCCCUCUCCUAUCUCCCGAGAAUAACACAUAUCUGAGUAUUUUAUCUUAAGUUUUAGGUUGGGGUGACCACGGAGAAAAAACAAUCCUCCAUGUUGAAAGAAAUUUUAAUCUCUUAGCAAAGAGCUACAGCUCUAUGCAUCAAUAAAUUGACUUUCAUUGACCCAAUAAUUUGAUCAACGAACCAAGUUACCCUAGGGAUAACAGCGCAAUCUAUUUCAAGAGCUCAUAUCGACAAAUAGGUUUACGACCUCGAUGUUGGAUCAGGGUAUCCUAGUGGUGCAGCCGCUACUGACGGUUCGUUUGUUCAACGAUUAAAACCCUACGUGAUCUGAGUUCAGACCGGAGUAAUCCAGGUCAGUUUCUAUCUAUAAAGAGCUUUUUCUAGUACGAAAGGACCGAUAAAGCAUGGCCAAUGCCCCCAUUAAGCCAUAAAUUUUUAACUUAUGCUAAAAACUUAAUAAUUAAAAACCUCCAACUAUCUCUCUAGACAAGAGACUUUA